UUCUCUACAUCGCAUGGGUUUUUGGGUAGAUUCAUGAUCUCUCUAAACUCCCAUCACUCCCAAAUUUCAUUCUCUUUUACGGUUUUGUGUUGUUCGAGCCUGUUCUUCCCACGGGUCAUUGGGGUUUCUCAGCCAUUGUGUGGGUGCAUUGUUUUCACCUCUUGGUCGAUUUUGCAUUGCUACUCUGUCUUGCGAUUGAAUUUCUGGGUUUUCGGUGACUGUGAUUUGCUGUUGUUUGUAUUUAUUGCCUUUUACUUGACUGUUCUGUCUUGCAAUUCAAUUUUUGGGUUCGCGGUAUAAGCGAGUAACUACUGAAGACAAUAUUACGGAUAAUUAGGUUUGCCAUUUUUUAUUUAUUCAAUAUGUGAUGAUUUUUUAGUGAAGUUGAAGGUUGUUUUUCCCUUUUCACUGCCUCCAUGUGUUGUAAUCCUUACCUUCUUCUCUAAUUGGUUUCUCAUGUUAUAAGGACUCCUAUUGCCUAUGUGAUCCAGGUACCUCGCGGCUUCCUUGAUGCGUUUUUCUUCCUAUUUCUUUGUUUGUUUCUGAGCGAAGCAUCAAUCGAAUGAAAAGUCACCAUAUAUUAAAUUGUCUUAUUUGCUCCUGGACUUUUGUAAUUUUUUUGAGGGCAAUGCAGGGGAUUCAUGUCGAGGUCGCAUUGGUUGUUCUAUGCGCACUGGGUUGCCUGUGGUGCUUGCUGUUCAGGCUCGAAAUUACGUUGUCGCUCAUAUUUGCUCUCAGGAGAGAUGCAAAACCUUGGAUUGCAACCAUCAACCCAUACAUAAUUAUAUGAUGCAUUUAUUAGAGUGGUUCACUUAAAAGGUCCGAAUGAUGGCAUUAAACUGCAAACUGGUAGACCUCAAAAUGGUGCAAGCAAAGGAAAGUAGACUAUUGGACUCGGACAAGAUUGCAUCAAAUUUUGUCCAUGGAUGGAAGACAUCAUCUCAAUGAGGUUCAUAUUCCGUAUUCACUUCUUACAGUAUCUGAUUGUCUUAUAGCAAAAAUAUUACUUUUGUUAGCAUCUAAUGAGUCUUCAUCUUAAUAAGAUCGAACUUAUAAAACAUGCUCUUAGUAUCCAAUGUUGGAUUUCUCACACUUGCUUUGAUGGUGGGGCUUUCAAUUGGUAUCAUUUAUUAUGAAUUUUUAUAGAUUGGCUAAUGAUUCUAAUAUUGUAAGAAUAAGGUAAUCAAUUAUCCUUCAUCCAGCACUACCAUUUCCACACACAAUCACAGGAUGCAAAAAGGGGAACUGACCAUGGACCUCUGCCAAGCAAAAGCCAAAUGCUAUGGUAUAUUUGUUUUCCAAGUUUUUUUUUUCUCAGAUAUACACUGCUCUUUGAUGGUGGGGUUUUCAAUUGGUUUUGUAGGGAAAUUUUGUUAUGUCUGUUCUAAGUAGAACCACACAGGUGCAUGCCUCAGACCAGGGGCAGUCGAGCCGGGCAUGCGCCCAGGCUAAAAACAGGUGAAUUUGGAUGGAUAUGCAGCUUCCCUUAUGAGUCCACUGGCAGGUAGCUUACUUGUGCUUCCACUUUGGAAUUACUCUGCUGAGCAUCAAUUAUCUAUCCAGAGAUAUCGACUUGCUAAAUACCUCUCUGAAUCUUCAUCCGAUGGUAGGUUAUCUGAUCUCCAUUUAUUAUUUACACACUAAUAUAGAACCAAUUGUAGUAACUGCUUCAUUAUUUUUGGUUGGAGAAAUUAUACUGAUUUACCAUGUAGAUUUUGUUUACUGAUGCAAUUUUAAAUAUUAUGCAACGGGAAGAAGUUGACAAGAAAUAAACUGGGGACAUGCUUUCACAUUUGAA